CUACACAUGCAAGUCGAACGGCAGCACAGGAGAUCUUGCUGUUUGGGUGGCGAGUGGCGGACGGGUGAGGAAUGCCUCGGAAUCUGCUCGGUGGAGGGGGAUAACGAAGGGAAACUUACGCUAAUACCGCAUACCACCAAAAGGCGAGAGAGGGGGACCUUCGGGCCUUGUGCGAUUGAAUGAGCCGGUGUGGGAUUAGGUAGGUGGAGGGGGAAAGGCCCGCCAAGGCGAGGAUCCGUACCUGGACUGAGAGGAUGAUCAGUCACACUGGAACUGAGACACGGCCCAGACUCCUACGGGAGGCAGGAAUGGGGAAUAUUGGACAAUGGGCGCAAGCCUGAUCCAGCCAUACCGCGUGGAUGAACAAGGCCUUCGGGUUGUAAAGAACUUUUGAUGGGAAAGAAAUAAAUAUGGCUAAUACCUAUGGGCGAUGACUGUACCCACAGAAUAAGCACCGCUUAACUUCGUGCCAGCAGCCGCGGCAAUACGAACGGUGCAAGCGUUACUCGGAAUUACUGGGCGUAAAGCGAGCGCACGCGGUCGGUUAAGUCCGAUGUGAAAGACCUGGGCUCGACCUGGGAACUGCAUCUGGAUACUGGUAGACUUGAAUGUAGGAUAGGGGUAGUUCCAUUACUGGCGUAGCAGUGAAAUGCGUACAGAUCUGAGUAGGAACAUCCAUGGCCAACGCAGUCGACCUGGACCAACAGUGACACUGAGGCACGAUAGCGAGCGGAGCGAACAAGAUUAGCUACACUGGCAGUCCACGCACUAACGAUGUAGACUGGAUGU
rnacentral:rRNA from 1 species